GCUAGAGUACUGGAGAGGAGAUUGGAAUUCACGGUGUAGCAGUGAAAUGCGUAGAUAUCGUGAGGAAGACCAGUGGCGAAGGCGAAUCUCUGGACAGUAACUGACGCUGAGGCACGAAGGCCAGGGGAGCAAACGGGAUUAGACACCCCGGUAGUCCUGGCAGUAAACGGUGCACGUUUAGUAUGGGAGGAUUCGACCCCUUCCGUGCUGGAGCUAACGCGUUAAACGUGCCGCCUGGGGAGUACGGUCGCAAG
rnacentral:rRNA from 1 species